rnacentral:rRNA from 1 species
CCUACGGGUGGCAGCAGUGAGGAAUAUUGGUCAAUGGGCGCGAGUCUGAACCAGCCAAGCCGCGUGAGGGAAGACGGUCCUAUGGUUUGUAAACUUCUUUUGUCGGGGAGCAAACGACGCUACGCGUGGCGUUCCGAGAGUACCCGAAGAAAACGCAUCGGCUAACUCCGUGCCAGCAGCCGCGGUAAUACGGAGGAUGCGAGCGUUAUCCGGAUUUAUUGGGUUUAAAGGGUGCGCAGGCGGAGGAUCAAGUCAGCGGUAAAAUUGAGAGGCUCAACCCGUAGGAGCCGUUAAAACUGGUUAUCUAGAGAGAAGGAGAGGUAGGCGGAAUGCGUGGUGUAGCGGUGAAAUGCGUAGAUAUCACGCAGAACACCGAUUGCGAAGGCAGCAUACCG